rnacentral:rRNA from 1 species
UACGUAGGAGGCAAGCGUUGUCCGGAGUUACUGGGCGCAAAGCGCACGCAGGCGGUUCAGUCAGUCUGUAGGGACAGGGCACAGCUCAACUGUGUCAGGCUUACGGAAACUGCUGAACUUGAGGGCUUCAGAGGGAUGGGGAAUUCCGGGUGGAGUGGUGAAAUGCGUAGAGAUCCGGAAGAACACCAAAGGCGAAGGCACCAUCCUGGGGAGUCACUGACGCUCGGGUGCGAAAGCUAGGGGAGCGAACGGG